CGCAAUCAUGAGAGUUUGAUCCUGGCUCAGGAUAAACGCUAGCUGUGUGCUUAAUACAUGCAUGUUGAACGGAAUAUUUUAGUUCGCUAAAAUAUUUAGUAGCAAAUGGGUGAGUAACACGUACCUAACCUACCUUUUGGACUGGGAUAACCAUUGGAAACAGUGGCUAAUACCAGAUAUGAUAAAAAUUUGCAUGAAUUUUUAUUCAAAGGAGCCUUCAAGCUUCACCAAGAAAUGGGGGUGCGCAACAUUAGUUAGUUGGUAGGGUAAAAGCCUACCAAGACGAUGAUGUUUAGCGGGGCCAAGAGGUUGUACCGCCACACUGGGAUUGAGAUACGGCCCAGACUCCUACGGGAGGCAGCAGUAAGGAAUAUUCCACAAUAAGCGAAAGCUUGAUGGAGCGACACAGCGUGCAGGAUGAAGUCUUUCGGGAUGUAAACUGCUGUUGUAAGGGAAGAAAAAACUAGAUAGGAAAUGCUCUAGUCUUGACGGUACCUUAUUAGAAAGCGACGGCAAACUAUGUGCCAGCAGCCGCGGUAAUACAUAGGUCGCAAGCGUUAUCCGGAAUUAUUGGGCGUAAAGCGUCCGUAGGUUUUUUGUUAAGUUUAAAGUUAAAUGCUAAAGCUCAACUUUAGUCCGCUUUAGAUACUGGCAAAAUAGAAUUAUGAAGAGGUUAGCGGAAUUCCUAGUGGAGUGGUGGAAUACGUAGAUAUUAGGAAGAACACCAAUAGGCGAAGGCAGCUAACUGGUCAUAUAUUGACACUAAGGGACGAAAGCGUGGGGAGCAAACAGGAUUAGAUACCCUGGUAGUCCACGCCGUAAACGAUGAUCAUUAGUUGGUGGCAAAAGUCACUAACACAGCUAACGCGUUAAAUGAUCCGCCUGAGUAGUAUGCUCGCAAGAGUGAAACUUAAAGGAAUUGACGGGAACCCGCACAAGCGGUGGAGCAUGUGGUUUAAUUUGAAGAUACGCGUAGAACCUUACCCACUCUUGACAUUCUCGCAAAACUAUAGAGAUAUAGCCGAGGCUAACGAGAUCACAGAUGGUGCAUGGUUGUCGUCAGCUCGUGUCGUGAGAUGUUAGGUUAAGUCCUGCAACGAGCGCAACCCUUUUCUUUAGUUGCUAACAUUUAGUUGAGAACCCUAAAGAUACUGCCGGCGCAAGCCGGAGGAAGGUGGGGACGACGUCAAAUCAUCAUGCCUCUUACGAGUGGGGCAACACACGUGCUACAAUGGCUACUACAAAGAGCAGCAAAACAGUGAUGUCAAGCUAAUCUCAAAAAAGUAGUCUCAGUUCGGAUUGAAGUCUGCAACUCGACUUCAUGAAGUCGGAAUCGCUAGUAAUCGCAGGUCAGCUAUACUGCGGUGAAUACGUUCUCGGGUUUUGUACACACCGCCCGUCACACCAUGGGAGUUGGUAAUGCCCAAAGUCGGUGAGUUAACUUCGGAGACCAUUGCCUAAGGCAGGACCGAUGACUGGGGUGAAGUCGUAACAAGGUAUCCCUACGAGAACGUGGGGAUGGAACACCUCCUUUCUACGGAAAAACCAAAAACAAAACAUAAA
rnacentral:rRNA from 1 species